CUCUUCCUCCAGAUUCACCAUGUGAUCCACCGGCAAGGGAGAAUGCCAAUGGAAGGCGUCCGAUAAGAUAAGUCUUACAAAAUAUAUAGAUUUAUGAUAAUUAAGACUGAGCUAACAGAUGAGAACCCUAGUCACUGGCCAAGCAACAUUUGCACCUAAUCUAUCCGCAGUGCCCUGGCUCAAGUUCCAGUCAUCUCUCCCAAAACUCUCUGUGUCCAUUCUUACCUCAACAUAAACCCAGCCACACUGAACCUCUUAGAAGAGAAAGUGGGAGGUACCCUUGAACAAAUUGGUACAGGACGCCACUUCCUGAACGUAACACCAGUAGAACAGAUACUGAGAUCCACAAUUAAUAAAUGGAAACCAAGAAGCUCCUCUAAGGCAAGGACACAGUCAACAAGACAAAAUGGCAGCCUACAGAAUGGGAAAAGAUCUUCUCCAACCCCACAUCUGACAGAAGACUGAUUUCCAACAGAGAACUCAAGAAGCUAGUCACCAAAACACCAAACAAUUCAAUUAAAAAUUAAGGCAAAGUUGGAGGAAGACGUAAACAGGAAGAGCCCUCAUCCAGUGGCUGAUGGAAGCAGAGGCAGACACCCACAGAUAUACACUGAACUGAACUUUGGAACUUAGUUAGUUACAGAGAGGGAGGAAUGAAGAUCGAAGGGGUCAGUACCAGGCUGGUGAAACCCACAGAAACAGCUGCCCUGAACAAGGGGGAACACAUCGACCCCCAGAGUGCUGUCUGGGAGGCCAGCACAGGACUGAUGCAGACCCCUGAACAUGGAUGUCAAUGAGGAGGCCUCUGCACUCUAGGGGGCCCCUGGUAGUGGAUUAGUAUUUUUCCCUGGUGUAAGAAGGGAUUUUGAGAGCCCAUCCCACGUAAAGGGAUGCACUCUCGGCCUGGACACAUGGGGAAGGGCCUAGGCCCAGUCCAGGAUGAUGUGGUGGACUUUUCGGAGCCCCCAUUGAGGGCCCUACCCUGCCUGGGGAUUGGAGGGUGGAUGGGGUGGG
rnacentral:lncRNA from 1 species